rnacentral:rRNA from 1 species
GAUGAACGCUGGCGGCGUGCCUAAUACAUGCAAGUCGAGCGAACAGACGAGGAGCUUGCUCCUCUGACGUUAGCGGUGGACGGGUGAGUAACACGUGGAUAACCUACCUAUAAGACUGGGAUAACUUCGGGAAACCGGAGCUAAUACCGGAUAAUAUAUUGAACCGCAUGGUUCAAUAGUGAAAGACGGUUUUGCUGUCACUUAUAGAUGGAUCCGCGCCGCAUUAGCUAGUUGGUAAGGUAACAGCUUACCAAGGCAACGAUGCGUAGCCGACCUGAGAGGGUGAUCGGCCACACUGGAACUGAGACACGGUCCAGACUCCUACGGGAGGCAGCAGUAGGGAAUCUUCCGCAAUGGGCGAAAGCCUGACGGAGCAACGCCGCGUGAGUGAUGAAGGUCUUCGGAUCGUAAAACUCUGUUAUUAGGGAAGAACAAAUGUGUAAGUAACUAUGCACGUCUUGACGGUACCUAAUCAGAAAGCCACGGCUAACUACGUG